rnacentral:rRNA from 1 species
GACGAACGCUGGCGGCGUGCUUAACACAUGCAAGUCGAACGGAAAGGCCCUGCUUUUGUUGGGUGCUCGAGUGGCGAACGGGUGAGUAACACGUGUGUAACCUGCCCUUGACUUUGGGAUAACUUCAGGAAACUGGGGCUAAUACCGGAUAUGAGCUCCUGCUGCAUGGUGUGGGUUGGAAAGUUUCGGCGGUUGGGGAUGGACUCGCGGCUUAUCAGCUUGUUGGUGGGGUAGUGGCUUACCAAGGCUUUGACGGGUAGCCGGCCUGAGAGGGUGACCGGCCACAUUGGGACUGAGAUACGGACCAGACUCCUACGGGAGGCAGCAGUGGGGAAUAUUGCACAAUGGGCGGAAGCCUGAUGCAGCAACGCCGCGUGCGGGAUGACGGCCUUCGGGUUGUAAACCGCUUUCGCCUGUGACGAAGCGUGAGUGACGGUAAUGGGUAAAGAAGCACCGGCUAACUACGUG